GUGUUUGGCUAGCAGCACACAUACUAAAACUGGAACAAUAAAGACAAGACUAGCAUGGCUCUUGAGCAAGGAUGACACACACAUUGAUGAAAUGUUCCAUGUUUUC
ensembl:snRNA U6 U6 spliceosomal RNA